rnacentral:RNase_P_RNA from 1 species
GCGGAGGGCUGGAUGGCCGCGGGCCUGCAAAGGCGCGAGGAAAGUCCGGACUCCCAGAGGCAACGGUGCCGGGUAACGCCCGGGCGGGGUAACCCGACGGAAAGCGCCACAGAAAACAAACCGCCGUCGUGCAGGGCCUCGCCUUGCAGAGCCGACGGUAAGGGUGAAACGGUGGGGUAAGAGCCCACCGGGGGGCUGGCAACAGCCGCCGCAUGGCAAGCCCCACCGGGAGCAAUGCCGAAUAGGGACCUUGCGCGGGUUUGAUCGGGUUUCCGAUAUCACCGCAGGCAGCCUUUGCCCAAAGGUCCGGGUUGGCAGCUAGAUGCGCGCGGGCAAUCGCGCGUUUAGAGGAAUGGCCAUCACCGGGACGCCGUCCCGGAACAAAAUCCGGCUUACAGGCCCUCCGCGCAU